rnacentral:rRNA from 1 species
CNACNUACGGGAUUAAGCAUUCNGCUUGGGGAUACGUUCGCAAGAUUAAAANUCAAAGGGAUGGACGGGGGCCCGCAACCAAGCGGUGGAGCAUGUGGUUUAAUUUGGAAGCAACGCGCAGAACCUUACCAACCCUUGACAUCCUGUGCUAACAUCCAGAGAUGGAUGGUUCCCUUUCGGGACGCAGUGACAGGUGCUGCAUGGCUGUCGUCAGCUCGUGUCGUGAGAUGUUCGGUUAAGUCCGGCAACGAGCGCAACCCACAUCCCUAGUUGCCAGCAGUUCGGCUGGGCACUCUAUGGAAACUGCCCGUGAUAAGCGGGAGGAAGGUGUGGAUGACGUCAAGUCCUCAUGGCCCUUACGGGUUGGGCGACACACGUGCUACCAUGGUAGAGACAAUGGGUUAAUCCCAAAAAGCUAUGUCAGUUCGGAUUGUCGUCUGCAACUCGACGACAUGAAGUCGGACUCGCUAGUAAUCGAGUCACAGCAUGACGCGGUGAAUACGUUCCCGGGCCUU